GCCAUAGAGGGUGAUAGUCCAGUAGGCGAAAAACAAAGCGUAGCUAGCAGUAUCCUGAGUAGGGCGGGACCCGCGGAAUCCUGUCUGAAUCCGGGUCGACCCCGAUCCAACCCUACAUACUAAUACCAUCUCGAUAGUGCACAAGUACCGUGAGGGAAAGGAGAAAAGAACUGAGGUGAUCAGAGUGAAAUAGAACCUAAAACCAUUUGCUUACAAUCAUUCAGAGCACUAUGUAGCAAUACAGUGUGAUGAACUGCCUUUUACAUAAUGAGAAUGCGAGUUGUGAUGUCGGGGAAAGUUAAGCAAACGCGAAGCCGUAGCGAAAGUGAGUCUUAAAGAGGCGCU
rnacentral:rRNA from 1 species